UUGCCUGGCGGCCAUAGCGCCGUGGAACCACCUGAUCCCAUGCCGAACUCAGAAGUGAAACGCGGUAGCGCCGAUGGUAGUGUGGCAUUCGCCAUGCGAGAGUAGGACACUGCCAGGCACC
rnacentral:rRNA from 1 species